UUUCUGUGAAAAGGCACAUGCUUCUAAACAGUAUCUGUGGGUCUGCCAAUCCAGAGGAGGCCAAUAUAAAAAAUUAUUGAAAGUAACAUGUAUAUUUUCAGUAAAGAAGGCAAAAGGAAUGGAGAUUUUUUUUUCAUUUGUUAAGAAUGAAAUUUAUCCUAAAGUACUAGGAAGGAAGGAAGACAUGGGACAAGGUUCUGAAUGUAAAAAGAAAGUUAUAGAAGGUUUGUGGAAGAGGAACCCCGAGAAAAGAGUUUUGUGCGUGGUCAAGUUGGCUAAGAUUGACAUGAACUUAAGCUCAAGAAAUUGCCAUGGAAGAAGAGGAACAAAUGUGACAACAAAAAGGGGGAAUUUUUGAUACCACCAUGCAGAUGUGGCUCAGGCCCAAUAAAAAUAGUGCCUAUUGGAUGACAAUUGCUACUGCUCCCGCAUAUUCAUCAAUUAACCCAUUGGGAACCUGAAAUGAGGAUUUUAUAGGGAAAACAAUACUUUCAGAAACUUUCUCCCACAGUAGCUCAUAAAGCCUAUGCUCAUUGUGCUAUACGCCCAAAGGAUAAUCCAGGAAAACCACUCAUGGGUCACAAGGCCACUUUCCCCUUCCCAAGGGACCCUUUGAGGUAUGGCAGUCGGACUUUGUUCAAAUGCCACCCUCUCAAGGGUAUAAGUAUAUCUUAGUAGUGAUCUGUAUGUUCUUGCAUUGGGUUGGGGCCUUUCCUUGUAGAAGGGCAAUGGCUUUAGCAGUAGGUAAAUUAUUAUUGGAAUGGACAACUUCUGUUUGGGGAAUUCCUACUAGAUUACACAGUGACCAGGGAACUGAUUUCACUGCACAAAUAAUCAAAUCUAUUUGUAAUAUUUGGUCAAUAAUGCGGCAUUUUAACUAAUGGCACAAUUCAAACUCAAUUGGCAAAGCUUUCAGAAGCAUUUAAUCUCUCAUGGCCAAAAGCUCUUCCACUAGUGCUCCACAAUCUUACACCUGUUGGUAAACAUUUGCUGUCUCCCUUUGAAAUAAUAAUAGGACAACUUAUGCAAUUAGAUGAGGGACUAUAUGAACCAACUUUGCUCAAGGGAGAUAUAUUACAUUAUUGUCAGGAUCUCACUGAGACACUUAAAAGAAAUGAAAUGUUGGUAGCUGAUUCCUUUCACAGUGAGCUCCUGAGAGAUGAAGACCUUAAGGAUCAUGGACUACAAUCUGGAGAUUUUGUUUAUUGGAAAACACACCAGAAAACGACUCUUUACAGCCCCAUUGGAAAGGACCAUCCUAGGAUGAGAAGAUAGAAUCUGUUACAGACAACUGUCCCAAGACUCUGGACCAGGCCUGUAUUCCCAACCUUGUAUGUCCUCAUUUAAAUCCUUGUAAUGCUUAAACUGUAUACCCAUUUUAUAAUUGCUACAAUAAUUGCUCUUGGUGAGUGAGUUCUUGGACCACAUCUGUUCUAUAAUUAUAAACAAUGUAAUUAUAAAAAGUCAUGUUAAAGCACAUGUGCGAUGUACAACAAUCUAAAAUUAAUUGAAAAAUUAUGUAACCUAUGAAAUACUUUCUCUGUUAAUAUAUGUUUCUAUGCUUGUCCACAAUAUCCAAUUGUUUUCCCCUAAUGUGGAUAACUGGGCAAAUCAAUGAAAUAAAAGCCUAGCACCAAGGGACAUGAUGGACCCAGGGCAAGCAGCAACCACCCUGACACUGAGAAACAAUAUUUUGAUCAUCAAUGCUUUCUAUCAAAAGAUUAUUGAUCAAAAGGGGAAAAAUGAUGAAUAAAUGAAAGCAAUAAGAAAAGAUAUAUAUAUAUAUAUCAGGAAGCCAUUUGGUUUAAAACUAAUAUGGCUUGACCUUGUUUUUUCCAGAAAGGCCUGACGUGGCCUGUCAAGCAUGCAUUGUACAUCUGCUUAAAUCAUUUACAAAGCAGAGAAUGAUGCCUUUAAAGAUAGGGAUGUGUGCCUUCCUCCCCCCCCCAUAUAUGCAUUCUUUUAAGGAUAAGCCUGUCUUCCCAGAAAUUAAGGGUCAAAUUGACCUACUGUGUAUAUUUUAUGACCCCUGACCUACUGAACACUGACCUGCUGUGCUCAUCUUGUGACCAGUGAACUGCUGUGCUAGCAAGACAUCUUGUGGCUGUGGUAAAAAGAGAUAUUCUUGUCAUAUUUGAUGUAUGUUUCUUGUCCCAAGAUGGUAUAUAACCACAGUGUACACCACACUUCUCCAGAGUCCUUCCUUCCUUGGUGAAGGUGCUCUCUCAGGCUGUGUAGUCCUCAGACUGUUUCAUAUAAUAAACUCACCCCAAUUUUGAUUUAUAGAUUGAUUAUUUGUGUCAACAAAUCUAAUUUGCCCAAGUUCACACAGAUGUGUUGAGGCACAUGAUUUCGUGAUUUAUAGGGGAUGAAGCAGGAGGAGCAAAGCUCUAAGAUGUGAGAGAUAGUACCUUGUCUGCUGAACUAUCCCAGUGGUGAGGGAUAUUUCUCUGAGACUUGAGCUACAAAAUAGAGCAGAGGCAGGAAGGAGUAAUUUCAGCCUACUUCCUCUCUUCUCAGAUUAAGCCUUUGCCUCUUCCCUCCCAAGAUUUUGCCCUCAAGGCCUCCAAGACCUGCUGUCAUUUCCUGCUGACCCUACUCCCCAACAUUUUCCCCAUGUGCUAUCUCCUUACUCCUCCUCAGAAAUAAUAAUAAAAUAGCCAUUUUUAUCAAACAUCCAUUAGAAUUGCCAAGCCCAGAGCACUCCACUUC
rnacentral:lncRNA from 1 species